GUGGCUGUAGCUCAGUUGGUUAGAGCAUCGGCUUGUGGUGCCGAGGGUCGUGGGUUCAAAUCCCAUCAGCCACCCCA
rnacentral:tRNA from 4 species